GCCACCCUAGCUCAGCUGGCUAGAGCAGCUGUCUUGUAAACAGCAGGUCUUCGGUUCGAAUCCGAAGGGUGGCUCCA
rnacentral:tRNA from 2 species